ACACCCAGAGCAGGGCUGCAAAUGCUCCCUUGCAAAUCCAGUUUCCCAAGAAAAAUACUGAGAUGCUCAAAGAUCCCUUCAAAAGAAAGGUGGCUAAGAAGCACCAAGACUUUAGCAAGCACAAGUCCUGAUUUGGAGGUGAUCUUAGGAAAGGUGAGCAGCAGAUCAAAAGUGAGCAGAAUGGGAAGGUAUGGACAUGAAGCAGAAAGAUCUCAUGCAACACAGGCCUCAAGGGGAAAUCCUCUACCCUCUCUCCAUGGCCUAAGGUACUGUUUGUAAAUUGCUUGCUUACCUAAAGUUGUGAAGAGAGCUUUGCAUGAAAUGAGCACAGACUUUGCAAGCAGUGAAGCCUUCAAGUCCCACCUGACAGUUCUCAAGCUAUCCAGAGCAGCUUCCUGCAAAAGAAUGGAAGAUGAACGAGAUGGACUUCAUUGGAUGCUGGUCCUUUACCUUGGGCUUCCUAGUCUCCAGAACUGUGAGCUGAUAAAUUUCUAUUCAUUAUAAAUUACCCAGUCUGCAGUAGUCUGUUAUAGCACUGCAAUAUGGACUAAGAUGUCUGGGUAUCUUGAGACAAAGAUGAGCCAUAGCAAAGUCAGCUAAUGUUUUAGAACAUUUGCCAGGCACUGGAAAACUGCAGCCUGUAAGCCAAAUCCAGCUCACUGCCUGUUUUUGUAAAUAAAGUUUUAUUGGAACACA